GGGCUUGUGGUUUAGUGGUAUAAUUUUCCCUUAGCACCAAUCUCUUCGGAGACCGCGUGGGAAAGGUCCUGGGUUCGAUUCCCAGCAAGUCCA